UUUCAAUGAUAAUUUAAUAAGUCAAUGAAACUCUAGAAGUAUCCAAUAUUUUCAUAUCAUCCAUCUCUAACAAAAGAGUGGAGAGAACGACAAUCAAUUCUCAUCAUAUCAGUUAAAUCUCUAUGGAAGGGCUCUCAACCAGCCAUUCGGAUGAGACUUUUGCUUAUAAAUAUUCUUUUUUCGAAUAAUUUCGAGUAAACUUUAGCCUCUACCAGCUUCUUCUCUUACACUUUUGAUUUUAGGCUUUCUUCUGUGGAGUUUUUGUUCUAUUGACUUGAUUUUUGUUUUGAUUUUGCUGCUUUAUUCGGUGCUUCAGCUAUAGUCAGUAAAUUUGAAUUUUGUUUGUUGUAGUUACAUUAGAUGUUUGGGAAAAUGGCACAAUUAGAAAAUUAGUCUUUGUUUGUGCUUUUGAGAAGCAAAAUUUCAAAGCUCUUUGCUUAUGUCCACAAUCUUUUCUUUUUUGGUCAAUUAACGUGAAUGCGUGCCAUUACUUAGAUGCACAAGAAGUACAUCAGGUUCAAUGAUUCGACUAACCAAGAGAAACAAAAUAAAAAGAUAAAUCAACUACAAGGCAGACAAGGUGACGGUCAUAUUUCCUAUGAGAUUUAGUGAUUCCAUAGAUAACAUUCUAGCAACAUCCUUCCUACAGGCUUUAUCAGAAGAGAUAAAAGCAAGAUAUGAGAAGGCAGUUGUGAAAGUUGUGGACAUGGAUGAUUAUGCUUCUAAUGAUGAUCUUUACGAGGAGAAGCUGAAGAAAGAAACAAUUGCAUUUUUCAUGGUGGCAACGUAAGGGAUAUGUUAUUUGGAAUCUGUCAAGAUUGGUUUUUUAUUUACGUUAAAUUAAGAAGAUAUUUCUCUCAGAGCUUACAUUUUAACACCUGAUACUUUAGCUACGGAGAUGGCGAGCCAACUGAUAAUGCUGCAAGGUUUUACACGUGUUUUACCAAUGUAGAAAGGAGCUAUGUGCAUCAAUGUUCUUUAAAUAUGUUUCUUUCGGAGCAGCUUCUUUUCUUUGAGUGGAACUUUAUUAUAUUUUAGGGACAAGAAUGGGGUGUAUAGCUACAAUGGGUUGUGUGGCUACAAUACCUUACCUAUUUCGUUUUUGGCUUGGGUAAUCGCCAAUAUGAAUAUUUUAACAAGAUGGGGAAGGUGAUAGAUGAACAAUUGAGUGAACAAGGUGCAAAAUGUCUUGUGCCUGUGGGCCUUGGGGAUGAUGAUCAGUGCAUUGAAGAUAAUUUUUCUACCUGGCAAGAACAACUGUGGCCAGAACUAGAUCAAAUACUUAGAUAUGAGAAUGAUGCAAGUUCUGCAACCACUCCAUAUAUAACUGCAAUUCCUAAAUAUCGUUUGGUUAUCCAUGAUACCACUAUGAGUCUCGAGGAUAAGCAUACAAUCAUGGCUAAUGGUAAUUCCACAUAUGACAUCCACCAUCCGUGAAAAGUAAAUGUUGCUGUUCAAAGAGAGGUUCACACUCCUGAGUCUGAUCGCUCAUGUAUUCACUUGGAGUUUGAUAUGUCUGACACUGGGAUUUCGUAAGUUUGUACAUUUCUUCUGCCUGGUUGGUGAUAUUGUGUUACCAAAAUAUUAGAGAAAGGUCGAAAGUAGGUGAAGCAGUUGAUGAUCUUUCUGUAAUAUGCUCCAUUCUUUUUGUAGUGUUCUAUUUUAUUAUCAUAACAUGUUCAUUCUGAAGAUGUUACAUAUUGGGAAAAUUCAUAAUUUGAAAUGCUUUGCAUUGUGAGGAAGAUGCAAUUAAAAUUUUCUGGC